AUAUACAAAGUUAUGAAGGAAGUUAAUUUUGCCCAAUAUUUUUUAAUCAAGAAAAUGGAUGUAUAAAUAAUAUCGUGAAAGAAAUUCAAUCACCUCAAAAAUUAAAUAAAAGUGGUAGACCAUUAGGAUUCAUAGUAUUGGAUUCAUAAAAAGGCAUACAAUUCCUAAGAAAAUCAUAAUUAAAAAGUUAAAAUUUCAUAGUUAGUUAUUUAACUACAACAUAUGAUGUUGAUUAUUAAGAACAAGACCUUAAUUUCAAAAACUUUGUUGACCCAAAAAUAGUUCUUACCAAAGAUGAUAAAAAAUAUUCUUUAUGCCUUUUGAAGGAUCUUCAAUGGACCUAGUAGACUUUGUACACUCAGACUCAAAAUUAAAAAAUUAUAAGAUUUUGUAAUUAUUUACAGUUAAUUAUGACUCACUUUUUAAAAUCAUUCAACAUAUAUGUAACAUGUUUAAAAUCCAACUACCAAUAUUUGGAAGAAAUAUGCUUCUCGCAAAAAAAGAAAGUCCACAAAAUAUUGGAAGGGUGCUAACUACUCCAUCACAAUUGAAGCAUAUGGGGAUUGUUUUUACAGAUGUAUAAGUAUGGAGAUUCCAGGAAAACAAGACUCUUAUGAUUUGAUUAAAUCUAGGGCUGUGCCGAUCCACAAAUUUUUCACCGAUCCUAUAUUUCCCGAUAUUGGUUUAAACCCGAUCCGAUAUUUAUAUUGAUUUUUCACCACCCACCUUUGAACCAAAUAUAAUUAAGAAAUCAAUAUUUUUUUAUGGAAAAAAUCGAAUUAUGCAUUUAAUUAAUUUUUUUUACAAUAAUUAAAAAAGUUUAUGGAUAUUGGUAGUAUUAAAUGAAUUUUUCAUUAUUACUCUCCGUGAAAUUAGAAUUCUCCAGAAAACAUACUUUCAAAAUUAUCUUUGUCUUUUAUAAAUCCAUAAUUCCGAUAUCAUAUUUAAAAAAAUUCUUUUAUUUAAAGUAUAAAUACCUUUAUUUGAACGUUGGUCAUAGACCUGCUCAAAGGUAAGCGUACUUGAAUUAUAUGAAGACCCAUCCUUCAUAUAAUUAUGCCGAUUUAUACCAACAAACCUUGUAACCCAGAUAUGAGGUUAUAUGAGAGUGGAACUACAUCCGAGCCAUAGAAAGAAGUCGAAUAUAAAAAUAAAAAAGAAAGACCUUUCUUCCAAAAACCUAUAUUUUAAUAAUCAAUUUAAUAAAUUUAGUUAGAAAUUCGUAAAUAUUAAAUUAUAAAUAAUAAAAUUGGCGUUAUUAUUUAAAAAGAUUUAAAAUAAAUAAAACUUUGGGUGUUCCUUUCUAUUUUUAUAAAAAAAAACUUUUAAAAUACUAUAAAUCUAUUUUAAAAAAUAAAUAAAAUUUAAGGGGUGUUGUCAGGGUUGCCAGAUUUUCUUCACUUGAAAACGUGAGUUUUCUUUUAUAAUAAUUAAUGGGGGACUUCCCCCCCCCCCCCCCCCGGGGAAAUUGAUGUAGCAUACUCAUCUAAUUUAAUAUGUUAUAUUUAAUAUAAUAAGGUUUUAAAGACAAUAAUAAUUCUUUAUUGAUUUACUAAUAACAAGGUUUUAAAGACAAUAAAAAUUCUUUAUUGAUUUACUAAUAACAAUUAUGAUAUAUAAUUUUCUCAUGUUUAUAAAUAUAGCAUAAUAUUAAUUAUUAUAUUUUAUGGAUGAUUUUAAAAGAGGCAAUAAAGAUUUCCCAUAGGCACUGUGGAGAUAGGCUGAAAACUCUUUGCAUGAAUAGUUAUAUUUUGUUUAACCAUAAGUUCAGCUUCCAAUGAUGACGUUCUUUUCGCCAAGCAGUAGUCAUUAGACUGAAUAUUCUCUCUGAUGAAGCAAAAGGAAUGCGGAAUAGAAAAUAUAAAAUUGCAUAUUUUCUCUAUAAAUGGUGAGUUUUUAUUAGAAAGAAAAUCCAUCCAUUUUUCUUGGGUAUUCAUGUGAUAGUUUUUUGAUAAUUUUUCUUCAUAAUAGGAAUAAAAUUGUGAAUAUUCCUCAAAGAAAAUUUCUGUAUCUAUGUUUGGUAUUUUAUAAUUACUAAUAAAUUUUUGUAAUUGUUCAAAUUCUGGACAUUAUUUUAAUGUCACUUAGGGCUAAGAUAUUUCCAUAUAUUAUCUAUAAUAUCAUAACGUUUUUCUACAUAUUCUAUAAUAUUUUUUAUAAAUAUCUUUGAUUCAUUUUUGAAAUUUAUUGCCUUUUUUUACAUCAUUAUGUUGUAAAAUAUUUUUAGAAAUGCUCCCAUAAAAUUUUGUUAAAUUUUUAAAUUUAAUGAAUUCUUUAGUUUUAGGAUAAGAUCAUGUAUAUAUAUUGCUAAUACAUCUUCAGAUUGCAAUUGUAAAUUUGUGUUAUUGACUAAAGUGCCAACGUUAAGGACAACACCUAAAUAUGCCUCUGCAAAAUCAUCUCCAAAAAUUAUUUUCAAAAUUGGUGGGGUCUGAUAAUGAUAAAAAAUAUUCUUUAAGGAGUUGAAAAUACUUAAGCAUCCGCUUAAUCGCUGGGAAUAACGUGAGCCAGCGUGUUGGAACAUGGCGAAGUGAUUCUGACCAUUCUAAAUUGCACCAUUCUACCAAUUCUUUUAAAAUUGUAACUCUUUUUGUCGUGCUAAAUUCAUUAUAGCAUUUAAUUAAUAUACUUUCAAUAUCAUAUUUAAGAAAAAUUAUGGCCUUUUUAAACGAAUUGUGAAGAAUGUGGCAUAUACAACACAUUUAAUAAUAUUAUUAAUAUGGCUUUUCAAUUCUGUCCAAAUACUUUAAUUUUUCCCAAAGUUUACAGAUGCGUUAUCUGCACAAUAGGCCGUUAUAUUAGCAAUAUCAAGUUCAGCGAAUUUUAGAUUUUCUAGCAAGCAUCUAGAUAUGUCUUUAGGGGUUUCACUGUCAGACGAAAAAAUUUUAAGUAAUUAAACAUUUAUUUCAUUCUUUUCG